AAAAAAAAAAAAAAAAAGAAAAGAACAGAAAGAAGUAAAAGAAAAGGAAAAAACCUACUGAAACGUUUAGAAGUGUUUGCUUCUUAUUACUGUCUCUACAGGAGCCUGAGAAAUUCUCUGCAGAGUGGAGAAACGCUUCUGCUUGGAUUUGAGAUCCUGUCACUGCUGUUGCUAACCCAAGUCUACUGAACUUGACCGCUGGUGUAUCUGGAAUGGAUUGAGCUGCCACUGCCUGCUAACCUAUGAACUGAACUGCUGAUUUCCAGACAACGCAGAUGAGGUCACUACAAAGAACCUCUCUAAACAGGUCCACUUCCCCGCCCAACCCCCCACACCCCUGAAUCCUUUCUUUUCCAUUACCUCUGGUGGGUGCUGGGCUACAAGGGAGGU